AAACCGUUCGGGGGUAAACGGACAGAGCCCGUGAAUCCGGGCGGCGGAAUUCAGAAUCGAUGGCUUCGCGGCCGUCGGUUUAAUAUUUCCGUCGCCGCCCAUUUCUCGGACGUCGCGACCCGUUUGGUGUCGGCCUCAGGAGCCGCGUUUCAAGUUCGCGGCCGCGUCGCUCUCGGGUGGCGCGGUCUCGAGGGCGCGGUUUUCUUUCCGGCUGACUCGCCAGACGGUACGCCACUGGUGACCUUUGCCGCCUCGCGCGGCAAACUCGGUACCGGUCUGCGACGAAUUUUCGGGCCUCUUUCCGA
rnacentral:rRNA from 1 species